CAUCCUUGAAUCUGCUUAAGUCUACCCUCCUGUCAGACCCAGGAGAUGGAGGGAAUGCCGUACGACUUCACGUGGGGCGUGGAGGACGGUGAGAGCGGCAACGCCUUCAGCCACGUCGAGAACAGCGACGGCCAGACGACCCAGGGCGAGUACCGCGUCCUCCUCCCCGACGGAAGAACUCAGGUGGUAAAAUUCUUCGACAAUGGCGAGGGUUUCAACGCUGACGUCACUUACGAAAAGUAAACACCACUAAGGGAUGUGAACCAGCGUCUGUCAUGAAACUUGCUCGUUCACAUCGUCGUUCUCAUAUUCACCUGAAAAUAUAUAUUUCUAAUGCUCUUACACAUCCUCUUUCAUCCGUAUGUGUAUGAUUAUUUAUGUGAUGAUUGAAAUUGAAUAAUAAAAAAAACAUUUAUGAUAA
rnacentral:lncRNA from 1 species